rnacentral:rRNA from 1 species
AGCCCAGAGCCUGAAUCAGUGUGUGUGUUAGUGGAAGCGUCUGGAAAGGCGCGCGAUACAGGGUGACAGCCCCGUACACAAAAAUGCACAUGCUGUGAGCUCGAUGAGUAGGGCGGGACACGUGGUAUCCUGUCUGAAUAUGGGGGGACCAUCCUCCAAGGCUAAAUACUCCUGACUGACCGAUAGUGAACCAGUACCGUGAGGGAAAGGCGAAAAGAACCCCGGCGAGGGGAGUGAAAAAGAACCUGAAACCGUGUACGUACAAGCAGUGGGAGCACGCUUAGGCGUGUGACUGCGUACCUUUUGUAUAAUGGGUCAGCGACUUAUAUUCUGUAGCAAGGUUAACCGAAUAGGGGAGCCGAAGGGAAACCGAGUCUUAACUGGGCGUUAAGUUGCAGGGUAUAGACCCGAAACCCGGUGAUCUAGCCAUGGGCAGGUUGAAGGUUGGGUAACACUAACUGGAGGACCGAACCGACUAAUGUUGAAAAAUUAGCGGAUGACUUGUGGCUGGGGGUGAAAGGCCAAUCAAACCGGGAGAUAGCUGGUUCUCCCCGAAAGCUAUUUAGGUAGCGCCUCGUGAAUUCAUCUCCGGGGGUAGAGCACUGUUUCGGCAAGGGGGUCAUCCCGACUUACCAACCCGAUGCAAACUGCGAAUACCGGAGAAUGUUAUCACGGGAGACACACGGCGGGUGCUAACGUCCGUCGUGAAGAGGGAAACAACCCAGACCGCCAGCUAAGGUCCCAAAGUCAUGGUUAAGUGGGAAACGAUGUGGGAAGGCCCAGACAGCCAGGAUGUUGGCUUAGAAGCAGCCAUCAUUUAAAGAAAGCGUAAUAGCUCACUGGUCGAGUCGGCCUGCGCGGAAGAUGUAACGGGGCUAAACCAUGCACCGAAGCUGCGGCAGCGACGCUUAUGCGUUGUUGGGUAGGGGAGCGUUCUGUAAGCCUGCGAAGGUGUGCUGUGAGGCAUGCUGGAGGUAUCAGAAGUGCGAAUGCUGACAUAAGUAACGAUAAAGCGGGUGAAAAGCCCGCUCGCCGGAAGACCAAGGGUUCCUGUCCAACGUUAAUCGGGGCAGGGUGAGUCGACCCCUAAGGCGAGGCCGAAAGGCGUAGUCGAUGGGAAACAGGUUAAUAUUCCUGUACUUGGUGUUACUGCGAAGGGGGGACGGAGAAGGCUAUGUUGGCCGGGCGACGGUUGUCCCGGUUUAAGCGUGUAGGCUGGUUUUCCAGGCAAAUCCGGAAAAUCAAGGCUGAGGCGUGAUGACGAGGCACUACGGUGCUGAAGCAACAAAUGCCCUGCUUCCAGGAAAAGCCUCUAAGCAUCAGGUAACAUCAAAUCGUACCCCAAACCGACACAGGUGGUCAGGUAGAGAAUACCAAGGCGCUUGAGAGAACUCGGGUGAAGGAACUAGGCAAAAUGGUGCCGUAACUUCGGGAGAAGGCACGCUGAUAUGUAGGUGAGGUCCCUUGCGGAUGGAGCUGAAAUCAGUCGAAGAUACCAGCUGGCUGCAACUGUUUAUUAAAAACACAGCACUGUGCAAACACGAAAGUGGACGUAUACGGUGUGACGCCUGCCCGGUGCCGGAAGGUUAAUUGAUGGGGUCAGCGCAAGCGAAGCUCUUGAUCGAAGCCCCGGUAAACGGCGGCCGUAACUAUAACGGUCCUAAGGUAGCGAAAUUCCUUGUCGGGUAAGUUCCGACCUGCACGAAUGGCGUAAUGAUGGCCAGGCUGUCUCCACCCGAGACUCAGUGAAAUUGAACUCGCUGUGAAGAUGCAGUGUACCCGCGGCAAGACGGAAAGACCCCGUGAACCUUUACUAUAGCUUGACACUGAACAUUGAGCCUUGAUGUGUAGGAUAGGUGGGAGGCUUUGAAGUGUGGACGCCAGUCUGCAUGGAGCCGACCUUGAAAUACCACCCUUUAAUGUUUGAUGUUCUAACGUUGACCCGUGAUCCGGGUUGCGGACAGUGUCUGGUGGGUAGUUUGACUGGGGCGGUCUCCUCCUAAAGAGUAACGGAGGAGCACGAAGGUUGGCUAAUCCUGGUCGGACAUCAGGAGGUUAGUGCAAUGGCAUAAGCCAGCUUGACUGCGAGCGUGACGGCGCGAGCAGGUGCGAAAGCAGGUCAUAGUGAUCCGGUGGUUCUGAAUGGAAGGGCCAUCGCUCAACGGAUAAAAGGUACUCCGGGGAUAACAGGCUGAUACCGCCCAAGAGUUCAUAUCGACGGCGGUGUUUGGCACCUCGAUGUCGGCUCAUCACAUCCUGGGGCUGAAGUAGGUCCCAAGGGUAUGGCUGUUCGCCAUUUAAAGUGGUACGCGAGCUGGGUUUAGAACGUCGUGAGACAGUUCGGUCCCUAUCUGCCGUGGGCGCUGGAGAACUGAGGGGGGCUGCUCCUAGUACGAGAGGACCGGAGUGGACGCAUCACUGGUGUUCGGGUUGUCAUGCCAAUGGCACUGCCCGGUAGCUAAAUGCGGAAGAGAUAAGUGCUGAAAGCAUCUAAGCACGAAACUUGCCCCGAGAUGAGUUCUCCCUGAC